ensembl:lncRNA
UGGGUGAAUCAGCGGACUUUGGUGUACUAUGACUGCGAUUUUCAUUGCUCUUUGUACCUCCGUCGCGGAGAUAUGACGAGAGAAGAAACGGCUUCAUUUUCGGAGUUUGAAAACUGAGAGGAGGACAGAUUUCCACCCCUCAAACAAACGUAAUUCAUUGCUCAACGGUAAGAAGCCCUUUGAGGGCAUCCACACAAUAAAGAGAAACAGGAACUCAAUAGUGUGGAAGCCCUUUGAGGGCAUCCACACAAUAAUAAAGAAUAAAGAGAAACAGGAACUCAAUAGAGUGGAAGCCUUUGAGGGCAUCCACUCAAUAAAGAGAAACAGGAACUCAAUAGAGUGGAUGCCUUUGAGGGCAUCCACACAAUUAAAGCUGCAAGCAGCGAUAUGAGGGCCCUCGCACCCCAGCACGUCGAGCCAAGCCCAAAACCUAAAACCAGUGCGUCCGAUCUGAUGUCACAUUGAUGGAAUUCAUGCGUUUAACCACCAGCUAACAUUUCAUCUCAUUCAACCAUUAUUAUAGUCGUCCCACUAGGUGGCGCUCUAACCAUUAAUGACAAAUGGCAUAACAAACAUUUCCGAGCUCGAGUCUCAUCAUAACUGCGACCUUUGGGAGAGAUUGGACAUUGUGUUUUUGAGUGACAGCAGAUUACUGCUUUUUGGCGAGUGAUUGAAACUCCACAUGCCGCCAUGACCACCUCGUUUCCCUGAACGUAAAAAGAUUUGCAAUUUAACAUCACAAAGGUCUUUGGAUUCCACGCACUGGAGAUCGCGUAAAUCUAAUGAAAUCCCUUGGAGGAGUUUGUCAAAGAACGGUGCCUGAAAAGAGGGGAAAAUGUCGCAGAAAUUACACAUCAAUUUAAAAAUGGCUGACUUCCUGUUGGAUUUGGGAUAUUGCUCCAACAGACUGUUUUGUACAUCUUGAUAUCUUCCAUAAGCUUACCAGGUUUCAGACUUAUAGACAAAACACAGAGCAGGGGCUGUUGUUUUGAAAUUGUCUAGGGAGCGCUGUGGAGCCAUUUUGCGCUAAUCAAUGAAAAUGGUAAAAUAACAAGAAAGCGCUCAUCACAUUAGAGGUGUGCGCCAAAUUUCACGACAUUUUAAACUUUCCAAGCCCCUCAAAAGCCACUUCAUUGUUCAUGGUGAACCGCGUUGCCACCAGGGUGCGCCGUUCAGUUUAAACUCACAAUUUUCUCACUGAAGCAUCAUGAGGGACUGAUGGUGAUAUUCACCACUUUUGAGGUGGCCACGAUGAGCCUGUGAAAAUCAGUGCAACAAAAUAUAAGACAUGACAUUUCCUGUUGCCACUAGGUGGCAGUCUACGUAUUCCUGACAAUGGGCACAUCAAUCUGUUCAGGGCGGGUCUGACAUCAUGCCUUUAAAGUCUGGUACUGAUCAGACUGGAUUUCAUUGAGUUAUACUAAUUUGUUUCUUCAUGGCGAGACAUCAAUGUUCGCCAUGCUGCUGGGGUCACACCCUUUCGCGAAAAGUCACAGUUUUCACUGUAGGUCUGACAUCACGCCUGUAAAGUCUCGUACUGAUCAGACUGGAACAAGAAAGCCUUCAUCACAUUGGAGGUGUGGGCCAAACCUCAAGACUUUUUAAACUUUCCAAGCCCCUCAAAAGCCAAUAAUAAGAAAC